AGGUCAAAUCAUCAUGCCCUUUAUGUCUUGGGCAACACACGUGCUACAAUGGCUAUAACAAAGUGAUGCAAGCCAGCGAUGGUAAGCCAACCACAAAAAGUAGUCUCAGUUCGGAUUGUAGUCUGCAACUCGACUGCAUGAAGCUGGAAUCGCUAGUAAUCGCGGAUCAGCAUGUCGCGGUGAAUACGUUCCCGGGCCUU
rnacentral:rRNA from 1 species